AGUCCUACAUCUCCUUUGUGUGAUCUGUGACCUUUUCAAAGGACAGCGCCCAAGUCUGGUUGAGAAAUUCAACUUCAACCUGAACGAGUCGGAGAAAGAUGUACUAAAGAUGGAAGAGAAGCUAACGGACAAAGAUUUUCAAAAACGCAUGGUGAGAAAUGAAAUCUUUAAUUGGCGUGACUUGAAUGAUAUUAUAUUGUCACGUAGUACUGGAUGGAAAAAUCCUAUCCUUUUGUAGUACAAUAGUGUCCUUUUGUAAAAUUGCAGAUAUCUUAGGUCUCAAAGCUGAGGGGUAAAGACAUCCCAGACGUGGUGAAGAGAGCAAUGCAUUGAACCCUGACAAACGGCCUUGUGUUCUAUACAGAACCCUGAGAAACGGCCUUGUGUUCUAUACAGAACCCUGACAAAUGGCCUCAUGUCAACGAUGACUAUGAAAGGUAACAAAUGGAAGAGGGCCUUUGAGGACUCCAACCUUUGCAGUGUCAUUAUAGCAAGUAUGAGUCUUGGCGAAUCAAAGGCUACAGAGGCAGAUAUAUUACAGGCGAUGUCAACCUGCCUGCAAUAUGCACCUGACUGCAAGGGGGCCAGUGGGAGGGCCAAUGAGAGUUCUUAAGAAGUUAAAGCAUCAAAGCCUGUUCUGACAGUGCAUUUUUUUGGUUUAUUGUAUAUCUGAUUUUGGUUUCCAGAAGCCUGUGCCAGAAAUUCAUUUUUUGGCUUAUAUAUAUAUAUAUAUAUAUAUAUAUAUAUAUAAAUGGCUUUUACAUUUAUUUUGUGGUGCAAUAAUUUUUCAUUUCAACCAUUCUUGACUUUUUUUUGCAUUUGUUUUUAC
rnacentral:lncRNA from 13 species